rnacentral:rRNA from 1 species
UACGUAGGUGGCAAGCGUUAUCCGGAAUUAUUGGGCGUAAAGCGCGCGCAGGCGGUUUCUUAAGUCUGAUGUGAAAGCCCACGGCUCAACCGUGGAGGGUCAUUGGAAACUGGGGAACUUGAGUGCAGAAGAGAAAAGCGGAAUUCCACGUGUAGCGGUGAAUGCGUAGAGAUGUGGAGGAACACCAGUGGCGAAGGCGGCUUUUGGCUGUAACUGACGCUGAGGCGCGAAAGCGUGGGAGCAACGG